CGACGGGUGAGUAACGCGUGAGAAUCUGCCUUCAGGUCUGGGACAACCACUGGAAACGGUGGCUAAUACCGGAUGUGCCGCAAGGUGAAAGGUUAACUGCCUGAAGAUGAGCUCGCGUCUGAUUAGCUAGUAGGUAGUGUAAAGGACUACCUAGGCGACGAUCAGUAGCUGGUCUGAGAGGACGAUCAGCCGCACUGGGACUGAGACACGGCCCAGACUCCUACGGGAGGCAGCAGUGGGGAAUUUUCCGCAAUGGGCGAAAGCCUGACGGAGCAAUACCGCGUGAGGGAGGAAGGCUCUUGGGUCGUAAACCUCUUUUCUCAGGGAAGAACAAAAUGACGGUACCUGAGGAAUAAGCAUCGGCUAACUCCGUGCCAGCAGCCGCGGUAAUACGGAGGAUGCAAGCGUUAUCCGGAAUGAUUGGGCGUAAAGCGUCCGCAGGUGGCUAUGUAAGUCUGCUGUUAAAGAGUCUAGCUCAACUAGAUAAGAGCAGUGGAAACUACAUGGCUAGAGUGCGUUCGGGGCAGAGGGAAUUCCUGGUGUAGCGGUGAAAUGCGUAGAGAUCAGGAAGAACACCGGUGGCGAAGGCGCUCUGCUAGGCCGCAACUGACACUGAGGGACGAAAGCUAGGGGAGCGAAUGGGAUUAGAUACCCCAGUAGUC
rnacentral:rRNA from 1 species